UACAGAGGGUGCGAGCGUUGUCCGGAAUCACUGGGCGUAAAGGGCGCGUAGGUGGUGGCUUAAGCGUGCGGUGAAAGCUCGGAGCUCAACUCCGAGUCGGCCGUGCGAACUGGGCUCACUGGAGCAUAGUAGAGGCAGGUGGAAUUCCGGGUGUAGCGGUGGAAUGCGUAGAGAUCCGGAAGAACACCGGUGGCGAAGGCGGGUCUCUGGGCCGAUACUGACGCUGAGGAGCGAAAGCGUGGGGAGCGAACAGG
rnacentral:rRNA from 1 species